rnacentral:rRNA from 1 species
GAUGAACGCUGGCGGCGUGCCUAAUAUAUGCCAGUCGAGCGAACGGACGAGAAGCUUGCUUCUCUGAUGUUAGCGGCGGACGGGUGAGUAACACGUGGAUAACCUACCUAUAAGACUGGGAUAACUUCGGGAAACCGGAGCUAAUACCGGAUAAUAUUUUGAACCGCAUGGUUCAAAAGUAAAAGACGGUCUUGCUGUCACUUAUAGAUGGAUCCGCGCUGCAUUAGCUAGUUGGUAAGGUAACGGCUUACCAAGGCAACGAUGCAUAGCCGACCUGAGAGGGUGAUCGGCCACACUGGAACUGAGACACGGUCCAGACUCCUACGGGAGGCAGCAGUAGGGAAUCUUCCGCAAUGGGCGAAAGCCUGACGGAGCAACGCCGCGUGAGUGAUGAAGGUCUUCGGAUCGUAAAACUCUGUUAUUAGGGAAGAACAUAUGUGUAAGUAACUGUGCACAUCUUGACGGUACCUAAUCAGAAAGCCACGGCUAACUACGUG